GAUGAAGAACGCAGCGAAAUGCGAUAAGUAAUGUGAAUUGCAGAAUUCAGUGAAUCAUCGAAUCUUUGAGCGCACAUUGCGCCCCUUGGUAUUCCGAGGGGCAUGCCUGUUCGAGCGUCAUUAUAACCCCUCAAGCUCAGCUUGGUGUUGGGGCCUGCUGCACUGGCAGCCCUUAAAAUCAGUGGCGGCGCCAUCUGGCUCUAAGCGUAGUAAUUCUUCUCGCUAUGGAGUCCUGGUGGAUGCUUGCCAUCAACCCCCAAUUUUUCUAUGGUUGACCUCGGAUCAGGUAGGGAUACCCGCUGAACUUAAGCAUAUCAAUAAGCGGAGGA
rnacentral:misc_RNA from 1 species